UGGCCGUCGUCAGUUCGUACUGUGAAGCAUCCUGUUAAGUCAGGCAACGAGCGAGACCACGCCCACAGUUGCCAGCGUACUCUCCGGAGGUGACGGGUACACUGUGGGGACCGCCGCUGCUAAAGCGGAGGAAGGAAUGGGCAACGGUAGGUCAGUAUGCCCCGAAUAUCCCGGGCUACACGCGAGCUACAAUGGUUGGUACAAUGGGUAUCUACCCGAAAGGGGACGGGAAUCUCCUAAAACCAAUCUUAGUUCGGAUUGAGGGCUGCAACUCGCCCUCAUGAAGCUGGAAUCCGUAGUAAUCGCGUUUCAACAGAACGCGGUGAAUACGUCCCUGCUCCUU
rnacentral:rRNA from 1 species